rnacentral:rRNA from 1 species
GACUGCCUACGGGAGGCAGCAGUGAGGAAUAUUGGUCAAUGGGCGGGAGCCUGAACCAGCCACGUCGCGUGAAGGAAGAAGGUACUUAGUAUUGUAAACUUCUUUUGUCGGGGAACAAAGGCGGAGACGCGUCUCCGGAUGAGUGUACCCGAAGAAAAAGCAUCGGCUAACUCCGUGCCAGCAGCCGCGGUAAUACGGAGGAUGCGAGCGUUAUCCGGAUUUAUUGGGUUUAAAGGGUGCGCAGGCGGGAGAUUAAGUCAGCGGUAAAAUGUAGGGGCUCAAACCC